AACUACCUGAGUUGCGUAUGAUUACCUGCUGAACUUAAGCAUAUCAGUAAGCAGAGGAAAAGAAACAAACAUGGAUUCCCCCAGUAACUGCGAGUGAAAAGGGAAAAGCCCAGCGCUUAAGGUUGUUGCUUGUAUGAGUGACGACCGGUGUAGCGUAUAGAACUUUCGUUCCAUGGCUGACGGCUUGUCUAAGUCUCGUUGGAAAGCGGUGGCAUAGACGGUUUUACCCCGGUAAGGCUUGCUGUUGUCGUGGAGUGUUUGUUCUGGGAGUCGGGUUGUUUGGAAACGCAGCCCAAAGAACGGUGGUAAACUUCACCUAAGGCUAAAUACGACCGUGAAACCGAUAGAAAACAAGUACCGUGAGGAAAGU
rnacentral:rRNA from 1 species